rnacentral:rRNA from 1 species
UGGUGGCGAGUGGACGAACGGUGAAGUAUGUAUACGGUAACGUACCUUUCGAGGUGGGGAAUAACGUAGCGAAAGUUACGCUAAUACCGCAUAUUCUGUGAGCAGGAAAGCAGGGGAUCGCAAGACCUUGCGCUGAUUGAGCGGCCGAUAUCAGAUUAGCUAGUUGGUGAGGUAAAGGCUCACCAAGGCGACGAUCUGUAGCGGGUCUGAGAGGAUGAUCCGCCACACUGGAACUGAGACACGGUCCAGACUCCUACGGGAGGCAGCAGUGGGGAAUUUUGGACAAUGGGCGCAAGCCUGAUCCAGCCAUGCCGCGUGAGUGAAGAAGGCCUUCGGGUUGUAAAGCUCUUUCAGCCGGGAAGAAAACGCAUGGGUUAAUACCCUGUGUGGAUGACGGUACCGGAAUAAGAAGCACCGGCUAACUACGUG